rnacentral:rRNA from 1 species
GGUGAAUACGUUCCCGGGCCUUGUACACACCGCCCGUCACACCAUGGGAGUGGGUUGCAAAAGAAGUAGGUAGCUUAACCUUCGGGAGGGCGCUUACCACUUUGUGAUUCAUGACUGGGGUGAAGUCGUAACAAGGUAACCGUAGGGGAACCUGCGGUUGGAUCACCUCCUUACCUGAAAGAAGC